rnacentral:rRNA from 1 species
UGGGGAAUAUUGCACAAUGGGGGAAACCCUGAUGCAGAGACGCAGCGUGCGGGAUGACGGCCUUCGGGUUGUAAACCGCUUUCAGCAGGGAAGAAGCCUUUAUCGGUGACGGUACCUGCAGAAGAAGUACCGGCUAACUACGU